rnacentral:rRNA from 1 species
UACGAAGGAUGCAAGCGUUAUCCGGAAUGAUUGGGCGUAAAGCGUCCGCAGGUGGCAAUGUAAGUCUGCUGUCAAAGCGUCUGGCUCAACCAGAUAAAGGCAGUGGAAACUACAUAGCUAGAGUAAGGUAGGGGUAGAGGGAAUUCCUGGUGUAGCGGUGAAAUGCGUAGAGAUCAGGAAGAACACCGGUGGCGAAAGCGCUCUGCUGGACCUUAACUGACACUGAGGGACGAAAGCUAGGGGAGCGAAUGGG